rnacentral:hammerhead_ribozyme from 1 species
AUUUCUAGAGUCCCAAAUAGAACGAAACGCGCGUCCUGGAAU